UCACAGGGCACUGCCCAGCCCGACAGCCAAGAUGGCGGCACCUCUGGGGAAACGUUCUCCAGAAAAUGCCACACAGGCAGCCAGGAGCGAGGGACAGGGUAUUUGCUGUACGUGUUUUUGUGGCCAACAUGGACAAUUUCCUUGUGUGUUUUUCUCUCUCCAGCGCACUCGGAUUUCUCCACAUUUCUGCGUCUCAAGUGCCACAGGAAUCUUGCUUUAACUGAUGUAUACGCUCAACCAGAUCGUGCAUGAGAGCCAUGAAGCCUUCCUUAGAAGAAAACCUUUGAUGCCAGCCUGGUCCUUCUGAGUCAGCUCCCCAGCAUGGAAGUCCAUAGGCACAGCUAAACUCAG